ensembl:rRNA 5S_rRNA 5S ribosomal RNA
GUCUAUGGCCGUGCCACCCUGAACAUGCCUGAUCUCAUCUGUUCUUGGAAGCUAAGCAGGGUCAGGCUUGUUUAGGACUUGGAUGGGAGACCAUCUGGGAAUACCAGGUGCUGUCAGCU